UACAGAGGGGGCAAGCGUUGUUCGGAAUUACUGGGCGUAAAGGGCGCGUAGGCGGCCUUCUAAGUCGAACGUGAAAUCCCCGGGCUCAACCCGGGAACUGCGUCCGAUACUGGAAGGCUUGAAUCCGGGAGAGGGAUGCGGAAUUCCAGGUGUAGCGGUGAAAUGCGUAGAUAUCUGGAGGAAUACCGAUGGCGAAGGCAGCCCCCUGGGAUAGCACUGACGCUCAUGCACGAAAGCGUGGGGAGCAA
rnacentral:rRNA from 1 species